rnacentral:rRNA from 1 species
CCUACGGGUGGCUGCAGUGGGGAAUAUUGGACAAUGGGCGAAAGCCUGAUCCAGCCAUGCCGCGUGUGUGAAGAAGGCCUUCGGGUUGUAAAGCACUUUCAGUGGGGAAGAAAGCCUUGGGGCUAAUACCCUCGAGGAAGGACAUCACCCACAGAAGAAGCACCGGCUAACUCCGUGCCAGCAGCCGCGGUAAUACGGAGGGUGCAAGCGUUAAUCGGAAUUACUGGGCGUAAAGCGCGCGUAGGCGGUCUGAUAAGCCGGUUGUGAGAGCCCCGGGCUCAACCUGGGAACGGCAUCCGGAACUGUCAGGCUAGAGUGCAGGAGAGGAAGGUAGAAUUCCCGGUGUAGCGGUGAAAUGCGUAGAGAUCGGGAGGAAUACCAGUGGCGAAGGCGGCCUUCUGGACUGACACUGACGCUGAGGUGCGAAAGCGUGGGUAGCAAACAGGAUUAGAUACCCGAGUAGUC